rfam:Triticum aestivum genome assembly, contig: Triticum_aestivum_CS42_TGACv1_scaffold_251049_3DL
UUGGGGAAAUGAUGAUUAAUUCAUCAGAUAUGUCCUAAACGGGCUUUUAAAAGAAUGGUGACAAAUUGCACGUCAGUCUGAUCCCCUA